rnacentral:misc_RNA from 1 species
AACGCACAUGGCGCCCCUUUGGGGCAUGCUUGUUUCAGUGUCAUACCCUCUCACGACCCCCCGCGGGCCUUGUGGUGUAUGAGCCCCACGGAAGCUGUAAACUGGCUCACGCGUGGCUUGAAGUGUGAAAGUAGGAGACCCGGUGACGAUGCAGACCCUGUACCUUCAGGGGGCUUGGCAUAACAGCGCGGUGUGGUAGGAUCCCGCAAGGGCAUCACGCACCCCCGUGCCCUGUUCAGCCUUACCCCAUUCCAAACUGAGGGUACGCGCAAAAAGGCUUUGUCGCGUCCCACCGUAUGGGAACCUCCAGGGAGGCACUGCGUGUGCCUCCCGCACUGGGAAACCCUUAAAACGUUUCCCACCCCCCCUCAACUUUUGACCUGAAAUCAAGUAAGAAUACCCGCUGAAUUUAA